GUAUUUAAGUAGAAACCAGCCGUUUCUCACCUUACAGCUAAGGCUAGUAAGGUUAAGUAAAUUUUACUUUAUUUGUUUAAAGGAAUUAGUAUUUUAGGGACGGCAUUACCGUCCCUUUUUUAUAUGUUUUA
rfam:Clostridium acetireducens DSM 10703 CLAC_contig000015, whole genome shotgun sequence.